rnacentral:tRNA from 1 species
GGAAGGGUGCUUGAGAGGCCGAAAAGAGCCGCCUGCUAAGCGGUUGAGGGUUCACGCCCUCCGUGGGUUCGAAUCCCACCCCUUCCGCCA